GUAGUUACUAGUUCUAAUUCAGAAAAUCAAUUUUAUGUGCCUGUAACUCUUCAGUUGCCUCGGAAUGUGCAGCCAGAGAAUGGAGCUUCCAGUUCUAGACUAGGUAGCUCUCCAAGUAAUCCAAUCAUUGUUGGUGAAAGAUCGGCUGUUACGAGUGAGGAAACAAAUAUUAGGAGUAUGCUGAGCAGCAAUAGUUUGGAUCAACCUGCGUUUCGUGUAGAAACUGAGACAAGGCAGUCGGCAGCAGUGCCACCAAAUUGGGAUCUGGCCAAUGGAGGUACAGCCAUCCCUGUAACUGUUGCUCCA
rnacentral:misc_RNA from 1 species